rnacentral:rRNA from 1 species
CGGACGGGUGAGUAACGCGUGGGUAACCUGCCUCAUGCAGGGGGAUAACGGUUAGAAAUGACUGCUAAUACCGCAUAAGCGCACAGUACCGCAUGGUACGGUGUGAAAAACUCCGGUGGUAUGAGAUGGACCCGCGUCUGAUUAGCUAGUUGGUGAGGUAACGGCCCACCAAGGCGACGAUCAGUAGCCGACCUGAGAGGGUGACCGGCCACAUUGGGACUGAGACACGGCCCAG